rnacentral:tRNA from 1 species
CAAACUGUAGCUUAAACAAAGCAUCUCGCUUACACCGAGAAAAUGCCUGAUAAAUCCAGGCCAUUUUGA